rnacentral:rRNA from 1 species
GGGAACGUACCUUUUGGUUCGGAACAACACAGGGAAACUUGUGCUAAUACCGGAUAAGCCCUUACGGGGAAAGAUUUAUCGCCGAAAGAUCGGCCCGCGUCUGAUUAGCUAGUUGGUAGGGUAACGGCCUACCAAGGCGACGAUCAGUAGCUGGUCUGAGAGGAUGAUCAGCCACAUUGGGACUGAGACACGGCCCAAACUCCUACGGGAGGCAGCAGUGGGGAAUAUUGGACAAUGGGGGCAACCCUGAUCCAGCCAUGCCGCGUGAGUGAUGAAGGCCCUAGGGUUGUAAAGCUCUUUUGUGCGGGAAGAUAAUGACGGUACCGCAAGAAUAAGCCCCGGCUAACUUCGUGCCAGCAGCCGCGGUAAUACGAAGGGGGCUAGCGUUGCUCGGAAUCACUGGGCGUAAAGGGUGCGUAGGCGGGUUUUUAAGUCAGAGGUGAAAUCCUGGAGCUCAACUCCAGAACUGCCUCUGAUACUGGGAAUCUUGAGUAUGGAAGAGGUGAGUGGAACUGCGAGU